AAAGAGUCAGGUGGAGAGGGUGCGGUGCGGAAGAGGAAACUCAAGUGAGAAGGGAGGGGCAAAGGACCCUAGGCACCUGCCACUCUAACGGCGUCCACAGGAUGGCCACGCCCUCCGGAAGUGCGGGACUGUUGGCCCACCUUUACGACCCUCCCUGUGCUCCUGCUCCCCACUUUACCCCCUUCCUGCCCCCCGCAUCUUGCUGCAGACUUUCCUCUGCUCAUCUGGGUGCCCUCGGUUAUCCUGCCGCAGGGUGUCCUCCUUCCUGGGUCCUUGCUAAGCAGCUAGGGCUGCUGGUGCCGAAAGGCCAAGCCCAACCAGACUCUACCUGUUCCUACCGCCCUGGGCCCAGAGCCCAGCUUCUUUCUGCACUCCCUUACCCUUCGCUGCACAAAGACAGAGCGAUCUUGGCCACUGUGCUACGGAACACUAGAUCCUCUGUGGGUAUUGUUGGACACCCAAGACUUGGAGGUCUGCCCCAACACCUUGAAUGGCCGGCCAGAGGUCUGGGGGAAGGGGGAGCUGAGCGCGGUCUCACAACCACGGGAGUCUCCAGGAAGCCUUUUCUACUGCCGCAGAACCAGCCCUCAGAUCCCAUUAGCGCACCAGGCCACCCAGGGCAUUCCUGGGCAGGGGGAGGGCAAAUAUGGAUGGGGUAUC